UAAGGUUUUCAUUACAAACAUGUUGGAGAG
rnacentral:piRNA from 1 species